CACGUAGGGUGCGAGCGUUGUCCGGAAUUAUUGGGCGUAAAGAGCUCGUAGGCGGUGUGUCGCGUCGGCCGUGAAAACCUGCAGCUUAACUGUGGGCUUGCGGUCGAUACGGGCAUCACUGGAGUUCGGCAGGGGAGACUGGAAUUCCUGGUGUAGCGGUGAAAUGCGCAGAUAUCGGGAAGAACACCUAUGGCGAAGGCAGCUCUCUGGGACGGUACUGACGCUGAGACGCGAAAGCGUGGGGAGCGAACAGG
rnacentral:rRNA from 1 species